rnacentral:tRNA from 3 species
GCGGAUGUGGUGAAAUUGGUAGACACGCUAGACUUAGAAUCUAGUGGCGUGAGUCGUGGGGGUUCAAGUCCCUCCAUCCGCACCA